rnacentral:rRNA from 1 species
AUUGCCCUAGUAACGGCGAGUGAAGCGGCAACAGCUCAAAUUUGAAAUCUGGCUUCGGCCCGAGUUGUAAUUUGCAGAGGAAGCUUUAGGCGCGGCACCUUCUGAGUCCCCUGGAACGGGGCGCCAUAGAGGGUGAGAGCCCCGUAUAGUUGGAUGCCUAGCCUGUGUAAAGCUCCUUCGACGAGUCGAGUAGUUUGGGAAUGCUGCUCAAAAUGGGAGGUAAAUUUCUUCUAAAGCUAAAUACCGGCCAGAGACCGAUAGCGCACAAGUAGAGUGAUCGAAAGAUGAAAAGCACUUUGAAAAGAGGGUUAAACAGCACGUGAAAUUGUUGAAAGGGAAGCGCUUGUGACCAGACUUGCGCCAGGCUGAUCAUCCGGUGUUCUCACCGGUGCACUCGGCCCGGCACAGGCCAGCAUCGGUUCUCGCGGGGGGAUAAAGGUCUCGGGAACGUAGCUCCUCCGGGAGUGUUAUAGCCCGGGGCGUAAUGCCCUCGCGGGGACCGAGGUUCGCGCAUCUGCAAGGAUGCUGGCGUAAUGGUCAUCAGCGACCCGUCUUGAAACACGGACCAAGGAGUCAAGGUUUUGCGCGAGUGUUUGGGUGUCAAACCCGCACGCGUAAUGAAAGUGAACGUAGGUGAGAGCUUCGGCGCAUCAUCGACCGAUCCUGAUGUUUUCGGAUGGAUUUGAGUAGGAGCGUUAAGCCUUGGACCCGAAAGAUGGUGAACUAUGCUUGGAUAGGGUGAAGCCAGAGGAAACUCUGGUGGAGGCUCGCAGCGGUUCUGACGUGCAAAUCGAUCGUCAAAUCUGAGCAUGGGGCGAAAGACUAAUCGA